GAGCAUAAUUAAUUAACGGAUAUAUUUAUAGAUUACUAUAAAAUAUGCAUGUGAACGUCUAUAUCUAUAGGGUAGAGAGAAAAAGUUGUGACUUGUGAAUGGGAAUCGAGGUGAAGUGAGCAUGUGUCCAAGGGAAAGAAUCCACCAGAAAGAGAGAACUGCAAAAUCCGAUGCUCUUCCAUUUUCGUUUUUUUUUUCUUUCUUUUUUUUAUAACUAUUUAUCUAUCUAAAUUAUAUACAUAAAUUUACAAAAUCAAAAUAAA
rnacentral:lncRNA from 1 species